rnacentral:lncRNA from 1 species
UUAAUUGAGCUAGAAUACUCAAAUUGAGCUAGAAUACUUUUAAAAGCACCAAACCCUUUGUGCUUCUAAGUUUUUAAUCCUUGGAUCUACUCCUUGAUUACUAAUAGUUUUUGGAUCAAACACUAUUCCAUCUGUCACUACCUACCACCAUCAUCUCUACCUCACAUCUCUCCAUCCAAUGACUAAAAACUCAAAGCACCAUCUUCAUGAUACUUUUGAGAGUAUUCUAGCUCAACUCUCUCUCUCUCUCUCUCUCUCUCUCUCUAUAUAUAUAUAUAUAUAUACACACACACACACACACACCUCAUUUUUAAUUUA